rnacentral:tRNA from 1 species
GGAGGAUUAGCUCAGCUGGUUAGAGCACCUGCAUCACACGCAGGGGGUCUGGGGUUCGAGUCCCUAAUUCACAG